GGACCUGCGACUGUGUCAGGAUCCAGGCAAUGAGCAAGGAGAUUGGCCUGCAGAUGCACGAGGAGCUCCUGAAGGUGACCAAUGAGCUCUACACAGUCAUGAAAACCUACCACAUGUACCAUGCAGAGAGCAUCAGUGCAGAAAGCAAGCUGAAGGAGGCUGAGAAGCAGGAGGAGAAGCAGUUCAAUAAGUCAGGAGACCUCAGCAUGAACCUGCUCCGGCACGAGGACCGGCCCCAGCGCCGCAGCUCUGUGAAGAAGAUUGAGAAGAUGAAGGAGAAGAGGCAGGCCAAGUACUCUGAGAACAAGCUGAAAUGCACAAAGGCCCGGAAUGACUACUUGCUCAAUCUGGCAGCCACCAACGCAGCUAUAAGCAAAUACUACAUCCAUGAUGUCUCUGAUCUGAUCGAUUGCUGUGAUUUGGGCUUCCAUGCCAGCCUGGCCCGCACCUUCCGGACCUAUCUCUCAGCUGAAUACAACCUGGAGACCUCUCGCCACGAAGGGCUGGAUGUCAUUGAGAAUGCAGUGGACAACCUGGAUUCCCGAAGCGACAAGCACACAGUCAUGGACAUGUGCAAUCAAGUCUUCUGCCCUCCACUCAAGUUCGAGUUCCAGCCCCACAUGGGGGAUGAGGUCUGCCAGGUCAGUGCUCAGCAGCCCGUCCAGACAGAACUGCUCAUGCGGUAUCACCAGCUGCAGUCCAGACUGGCCACCCUCAAGAUAGAGAACGAGGAGGUUAGGAAAACCCUGGAUGCCACCAUGCAGACAUUACAGGACAUGCUGACUGUGGAGGACUUUGAUGUCUCCGAUGCCUUCCAACACAGUCGAUCGACAGAGUCCGUCAAGUCGGCUGCCUCUGAGACCUACAUGAGCAAGAUCAACAUUGCCAAGAGGAGAGCCAACCAGCAGGAAACAGAAAUGUUUUAUUUUACAAAAUUUAAAGAAUAUGUGAAUGGCAGUAACCUCAUCACCAAGCUGCAGGCCAAGCACGAUUUACUCAAGCAGACCCUGGGCGAAGGGGAAAGAGCAGAGUGCGGCACCACCAGGUGAGAGUGGGAGAGUUGUGUUUUCUUUCAUCCGCUGCCCGAGGUGGGAGUGGGAUGGGGCUGGGGAGGCACUGCCGGGAGCUGGAGAAGCAGGGAUGGCUUCUUCACCAGUGUCCCCAAGGGCUGGUGUGGGUGUGCCCGGGUGAGGCACAGUUGCUGCUUUGCUUGUUCUAGCAUUAGACUGACAAAGCCACUCCCCUCCAGGCUGGCGAUGGAAGGGGCGCUUUUGGGGCUGCUGUGUGGCAGUGGGGCACCCUCCCUUUGCGCUGGCCAUCGGGUGAGACAGUAUUGUCUACUCAGAGUGGCUGAGGGCAGCCUGUAGGGGCCAGAGGCUGUGGGGUGGCUGUUGACCUCUCUUCCCACCUGCUACACCAUGCUGAGCAAACUGCCCAGCCAUGCUGCGAGGCCCAGCCUGGGGUCCCCAUGUACCAAGGCUUUGGGCCAGGCUCAGAUUGCGUGCAGCUGGGCACACGCAUGUGCAUAGGCGUGCACAGACUCCCCUGCCGUCCACACCCUAGCUUGGACCUCACGGGCACUUGGAUGAGCUGACGGAAAGUAACACACGGGCAACUUCUGCUUUCUCUUCAGCUUGUUCAACAUUCCCUUUUGCGCUUUUUCCUGAGCAGACCAGAGCCAGUGAACACUUUCCACUCAGCAGCUGAUAGCCCAGGGGCUGACUUUACUUCCCUUUCAGAGAGCUUAGAUCCAUAAGUGGCUCUGUCACUGGCCAGGUUGUUUGCUUAGAGCCUAUUUCAUUUCUAUGUUCCUAGUAAGAGAUAUUGCACUGCCUAGCUGGAAUUCAGCCAGUGGCCCAGAGGCCUGCACUUUUCCAUCACACGGCAGUAGAGCGCUACUUUUUGCCUCACUUUCUGGGCCCAGGGACCUGAGGGCAUUCUUUCUUUUCCCACAAAUGCUUUCCAGUGGCCCCAAAUCCUGGGAAGCCAUCAUGUUUGGCAAGAGCAAAGAUGAACUCCCAACUCUCUCCUGCUCCUUGGGAAGGGAGUUGGGCAAAGUCUUGGCAAACUCUGGGGUUUUCAGUUUCCUGGGCUCAGGAUGGGGAGACGGAGGGCUUGGCAGAAGCUCAGCCCGUACAGCUGUUCCUCUGGGCUCUGGCAAUUUGGAAACAUCAGGAUGAUUCACACCAGGCAAGGCCCUUCCAGCACACGGGGCGGCAGAUGUGCAGGGUCACUUUCGAAGAACCUUUUAGAAACGAACCCAUUAUAAUUUUUUUUUCUUUUCUGGCGAGAGAAUGUUGUCAUAGUCUCAAAACAACAGAAGCUGUAUUUUACACCAAAUUCUGCAAAUAGUGAAACAGAUGGGGAUUGAGCUGUCCCUCACUUCCUCCUAAUUCCUAGAACUCACGCAGAGAAGUUUGUUCCAGCAGAGUGUGGGAGAGGAGAUCUGUCAUCAAACACUUGGCCAGGUCUCAGGGUCUUCCCUCAGGGGAAAGUUGAGGGUUUGUGUGUUUUGUUUUGUUUUGUUUUGUGUUUUAAAUAAAGCCCUCUGAAGUGUUGUCUUCCACACCCUCCUUGACCUAGGGCCUGGGAAGUCCAAGCUGAGUUUAUCAGACCUCCCACUUAGACACCCUGCAUUCAACUGCAGCUACCCUGCAUUCAACUGCAGACAUAGCCCUGUGUACUCUGGUUCCUGGUCAAGGUCAAAGACAACUUUGUUAGUAAACUAAAAGUCUCCCCUUACCUCCAAAAUCAUGAUUUAACUUGUGGAAAUUGUUGCUAACAAUGUCUCUGUCCUAUGGCUCUCUCUGUAUCUUCCAUGGACUCCCACACGAGGUGGAUAUCAUUUUUGGAUGGUUAUUUGAGCAGGAUCCCCUCAGCCAAGUUGCUGUUGACCUUGUAUAGAGGAACUGGUUUUGCAUAUGGGCUGCAGCAUGUUAUAUUUUUCUCACACUUCAGAAUCUUAUCUUAGAAUAGACCAAAUUCAUAAUAACCCUGUAAUUCAGGAUGGCCAGAUGUGAUAAUGCACUUAAGUUUAAAAGCGUAUUGCAAAUGUCAAAGCAAGAUGCAAAUAUAAGUUUUGAUUAUUGUGAUUCAAAUGAAUGUCUGGCUCCCCUUACCCAGGUUGACAUGCCCUCGUGGUCUGGAUUAGAGGUGAAAUCACCUGAGAUCUUGUUCAAGCAGAUGCAACACAUUACACAGCUCAUGAAUAGCCUCCAAGGGCCCGACUGGCAUUGCCCUACAGCAUUGCCACCAUUUGGGAUGUUGACCUCCAAGUCUAUUAGGUUAUCUAGGGGAAUUUUUCAUCACAUCCCUUUAGUUGCAGGAUAAUUUUGAGGCUAUUUCCUGUGUUGCCAACGUGUGUUAAUUUUCAUCUUGAUUAAAAGGCAGAAAGGGGACAUUGGUCUCUGGUUUCUCUUUCUUCCUCUCUGUGGCUUUCUCUGUUCCUGUUUUCCCUGCCUCUCUUUCUUUCUUUCUUUCUUUCCUUUUUGCUCUGCAUCUGAGCAGCAGAAGAGAUGGAAGGCUUAGGCUGCCCCACUUUCCUUGGCCGAGCUGCCCCCCUGCUCCCCACUUUGUGCCCCACCCAGCACUUCAGUAAGUCGAUAUAGAUUUGAUAUUGUGCAAAGUUGGGAUAGCUACGUUUCCUUGUCAGAGAUUCCAGACAGUGCACAGAGCACCACACAAAGAAAGAAAUCCUCGUGUGAUUCACACAGUCCUUUGCUUUCUGGAUUGGGCAGGAAAAAUGGGAAAACAUAUCCAAUUUCCCCUUUUUUCCACUUUGUAGAAUUUAAGAAAAAACAAAAAACACUUAGGACUUUCUUUUAAGGAAACCCUCCAGUUGGGCACCGUAGGUUUUUUGAUAUUGAGUGUCCAACACCUGCUUUUAGAGUCUCCGCUCUUCCUGGCCAUGAGAAUUUAGCAGAUAAUUUAAUGUUACUUCUGGAUGUUCUAUGAUAAAAUCACUUUCAGACCCACACUAGAUCCUUGAGAGUAGGAAGAGCUGAAUUUUACCACCAGCCUCAAUCACAUUUUAUUUGUGUGACCUUAGGCAAGUUUCUUCAUCUUUUGUGGGCUCACUGGCCUUGUAUGUAAAGUGAAUUGAAUAUUCUUUCCCAACCUCACAGGGUUGUUGUGAGGUUGUCAUGCAAUGUGAUAAGGAAAUGAUCUGGGAAUGUUCAAAAACAAGCCAAACACUAUGAAAACAGGGUGACAAUGUUGCUAUCAUCAAGUUAUUUCUAAUCCCCAAACUUAAAACCUUUGGCCUUGUGUCACAUUUUUGACACUCUCUUUUGCCUUUGGUAUUUGAAAAUUUAAGAGCAGCUCUUGUAAGAAAUCCCACCCCACAUACAUACAUCCUCAAAAAAAAUAAGUAAUUUUUGAAAAAUAAAUGACAUGGACUUAGCUAACCAAAUUGACAUAGAUCCAAGAUGGGCUUGAAAUAAUCUUGCCUGUUGUUUCUUUUCAAAAUUUUGAUCUGUGCUGUUAUUUUGUUUCCAUUGUUUGGGUGGCAUGAUAUUUGGAUUCACCUGGUUUUUGCCCAUGCAUGUACUGGAGCUAGCAGCAUUUGCUCAAUACUGAAACACCUAGGAGAAGUUGGUUAGAGGUCCCUGGGGAUGGCUGGCUGACCGAAGGAGACAGGUACAACAAGCCCAGUCAGCAGAGGCAGCAUGAAUCUCAUUGAUCCUGAUUGGCUGCAUAGUCUGGAAGAUUUCUUGCCCGCUCACAGAAAUCAAUCAAGACUUGGGGGACCAGGUCUUUGCUUGUCAUGUGUGGACAUUAUCUGUGCCUGGCUGAGUCCCCACUUGUUGCUACCCAAAUUUUGAACCAAGCCAUUUGAAAAUGAACUGCCUCUCUUGGUUAGGGGCCCUCUUCUUAACCUUCAAAAGGCCUUUGCGCCAGAAGGCUGGCACCAUUGAGUCAGGCCAACUUGUGUGGUGAAAUGAGCAAAUAAGCCAACACAGGUAUAUGCAUGGUGAGCAAUUCUGGAAACGGGUCCAGUGUUUGUGGCUGUUUCUCUGGUGAACUGUGGUGUGGUUAUCCCUCCCUGUGGCCAAGAGUGGAGCCCACUUUAGGAAUGGAAAUCCUAAAGUAAAGCAAGACACUUUCAACCUGAUCCCAUGGCAAAGGUUACUGGGGGGUAGAUGAGUCCUUGGCUGGAAAUAAAAAAGUGCCCUAAGGCUCCAUGAUGGUGGCCUGGUAGGAAAAACCCUGAACUUGGAGCCAAAGUGUCCUGGGUUUGGGGUCCAGCUCUGUCAGUUCUCCUUCACAGGAGGCUUCAGUUUCUGCCUCUGUAAAAUGGGGCCAUAUGUACAGGCUUGAGGUGGUAUUAAGUAUAAUAAUGGAUUUGAAAGUGCUUUAAUUGAAAAUGUACUUGAGGCUGGGUAAGGAGGCUCAUGCCUGUAAUCUCAGCACUUUGGGAGGCCAAGGCGGGCAGAUCACGACAUCAGGAGUUCAAGACCAGCCUGGCCAACAUGGUGAAACCCUGUCUCUACUAAAGAUACAAAAAAUUAGCUGGGCGUCGUGGUACAUGCCUGUAAUCCCAGCUACUCAGGAGGCUGAGGCAGGAGAAUCGCUUGAACCUGGGAGGCAGAGGUUGCGGUCACCUGAGAUCAUGCCAUUGCACCCCAGCCUGGGCGACAGGGCAGGACUCCGUCUCAAAGAAAAAGA
rnacentral:sRNA from 1 species